rnacentral:rRNA from 2 species
UGCAGUCGAGCGACUGAUUAGAAGCUUGCUUCUAUGACGUUAGCGGCGGACGGGUGAGUAACACGUGGGCAACCUGCCUGUAAGACUGGGAUAACUUCGGGAAACCGAAGCUAAUACCGGAUAGGAUCUUCUCCUUCAUGGGAGAUGAUUGAAAGAUGGUUUCGGCUAUCACUUACAGAUGGGCCCGCGGUGCAUUAGCUAGUUGGUGAGGUAACGGCUCACCAAGGCAACGAUGCAUAGCCGACCUGAGAGGGUGAUCGGCCACACUGGGACUGAGACACGGCCCAGACUCCUACGGGAGGCAGCAGUAGGGAAUCUUCCGCAAUGGACGAAAGUCUGACGGAGCAACGCCGCGUGAGUGAUGAAGGCUUUCGGGUCGUAAAACUCUGUUGUUAGGGAAGAACAAGUACAAGAGUAACUGCUUGUACCUUGACGGUACCUAACCAGAAAGCCACGGCUAACUACGUGCCAGCAGCCGCGGUAAUACGUAGGUGGCAAGCGUUAUCCGGAAUUAUUGGGCGUAAAGCGCGCGCACGCGGUUUCUUAACUCUGAUGUGAAAGCCCACGGCUCAACCGUGGAGGGUCAUUGGAAACUGGGAAACUUGAGUG